rnacentral:rRNA from 1 species
UGAAUAAAUUUGAACGGGCUGUUGCUGGCUCUGUUGAGUGAUGUGCACGCUUGUCAUGUUUAUGUUUCCAACUGUGCACACAUUGUAGAUCUGGUGGAAUUUUAUGUUGCUUGCAAAUAAUAGAGUGAGGAUUUUGCUGUAUGGCACUCCUUGUCUGCUAGGUCUAUGUUCACAAACUCUGAAAUGGUUAUAGAAUGUUGGAGAAAAUUUUUUUUUACAACUUUCAGCAACGGAUCUCUUGGCUCUCGCAUCGAUGAAGAACGCAGCGAAAUGCGAUAAGUAAUGUGAAUUGCAGAAUUCAGUGAAUCAUCGAAUCUUUGAACGCAUCUUGCGCUCCUUGGUAUUCUGAGGAGCAUGCCUGUUUGAGUGUCAUCAAGUUCUCAACCCGCAUCCUUUUUGAAGGGAUGUGGAUUUGGAUUAUGGAGUUUGCAGGCUUGAUUGAAAGGUCUGCUCCUCUGAAAUGUAUUAGUGGCAAUGUGGAAAAGCUACUGUGGGUGUGAUAACUAUCUAUGCCUAUGCAGUGCUCUGCUGUGUGCC